rnacentral:rRNA from 1 species
UAGGGAAUUUUUGGCAAUGGGGGGAACCCUGACCGAGCAACGCCGCGUGAGUGAUGAAGGCCUUCGGGUCGUAAAGCUCUGUUGUAAGGAAAGAAAGACGGAUGUAGAACAUCCGCGUGACUAACUUACCAGAAAGCCACGGCUAACUACGUGCCAGCAGCCGCGGUAAUACGUAGGUGGCGAGCGUUAUCCGGAAUUAUUGGGCGUAAAGGGUGCGUAGGCGGCCUUUUAAGUUUAUGGUGAAAGCGUGGGGCUUAACCCCAUACAGCCAUAGAUACUGGGAGGCUAGAGUACUGGAGAGGGAAGUGGAAUUCCAUGUGUAGCGGUAAAAUGCGUAGAUAUAUGGAGGAACACCGGUGGCGAAGGCGGCUUUCUAGCCAGUAACUGACGCUGAAGCACG